AACAUUCUAUGCCUACGCUGAUGCAUGUAUAAACACGUAUAACACGUAUAAAUCAAUACGCGUCAACGUUCGAUCGAUUGUUCUCUGAAGAAUAGGCGAAUAAGCGUCACUCUACACGUGUGACGAUCGUAUUUUCCUCCGAUCGGGGAAAGAUCGAUCAAUUAUCAUCGGUGUACGACGAUUUACGACGAAAAAAGUUACAGUGACGAGGUUAUCGACAGACACCGAGAGAAGAAUAAUUACAUCGGGCGCAAUUGAAUCGAAACCGCGGCAUCUCGAAAAUCAAACUACAAUUUAUGUACAACCGGUGUACACACAUUCUCUCGGAAUAUUUAUCGAUACGAUUAUCCUAUUCCUUCUCCCAUAAAAUAAUCUGUCAAUGUUGGAAUGGAACGAUCUUCGAGCCGAUAUCCAACAACGCCCACGUAAGGCGAAUCCUCUUUCCACCUACGGUCGCACAUAGAAACACGCCGUAACGCGCUGCUCGAACAUGGCUACCCUCUAUUCAUCGCGGGAUUACCACGGAUGAACGAGGUUAGACGAAAGUUUUUUUCCGUGUUCGCGUGUCGUCCAUUGUGAAACGCACGAAUGUUCCAAGCCUCGAGAGAGAAAAAAAGAAAAAUAACGGAGAGCGCAACGAUGUGAUAAUUUAUAAACGAAUUUGACCAGGAAGAAUCAAAGGAAGCAUUCGUGAGAAUUUUUCUUCUUCAAGGAAAAAUUUGUUCGAAAGAAAGUUCUUUCGAAUUGACGAUACGCGGCGGAUACGAUGCCACGGGAUACGGAUCGUUCUCUUAAGAGAAACAUGCACCGACAACGCCCACGUGCAAAUACAAACAGUCGGUAAUAUGUUUCGUACGUCAUCUAGCUAAGCGUUCGUUCGCAAGGCACGCGAUCACCAUGAUUUUUCACGAGAUGAAAAGAGAAGAAAAAUGGAAUGGAAAAACUAGUUCUCCACUGAUACCUACCGAGUAUCCGCCGAUCGAAAUAUCGAAAUCGGUCGAUAAAGCCAAGGAAUUCGAUCGAGGAAAAGAGCUCCCUCGUCGACUCUCGUUUUUCUCGUGAUCGUGAAAUUGUUAUGCCGCGAUCAUCCUCUAUAUUUAUUCCGUAUCGUCGUUGCUGGGGAUACUGGUCUACGUCGAUGUUGUUCCAGAGAGGUGGCUGAACAGAGGGACCCAGGUUGUAUCGCGUGGAUAACGCGCCAACGUUUCGCCAAGGUUUAUGGGCCGUGACGUCCCGCAUCGGCAAGAGGGAUAGGAAUGAAUCGUUUCGAAUAAACUAUGGACGAAUAUUCGAAGAAAUUUCCUGGUGUUAAAACGAAAUUUCGAAUUCUCGAUGCCAGAAAUUUCAAACUGAUAGUAUCUUUAUCUGGCUUUAGAAAUUCGAGAAAGGCGUGCCCGUCGAGUUCCAAUUUAAAACCGAAGGAAAAAUAUCGAGAAAAGAAAAGGAAAUUUGGAAAGGAAGAGUGCGUAAGUUGAUUAAAAAAUUGAAAAAAAUUCUAAAGAAAUAAGAAAUAAAAUCGAAAUUAAUUUU